rnacentral:lncRNA from 1 species
GAACAAUGCUGAAGCAACCUCUUCCAAGUUAUCAGGACAAGACCAUGUGAUCCAAACAGGCAUCCUGUGGUGACUGAAGAAGGGCCUACCAGCGAAGGGACUCCAUCGCCUGAGGAGCAGCUUCCGCAGGAGCUCCGGCAGGUUCCUUGGAAAACGUGGCAGUGCCGGGCCCAUGGUGCCCUGUUCAGAAAUACAAGACUCAGAUUUAGUAAAGCCAGUUGUGUAAUGUGAAAUUCGUUUAAAAAAUCCUUAACCAACACAUUUCAUUUCAUAAGACCGAUGUAUUCUAUCAACAGUCUUUUACUGUAUGUUCAUACUUAACGGCAUUAAGAAUCACCGUGAUGGGCUGGUGACAUGCAUCUGGUUCAUCAAUGUUAGUGGCAAAGCUUCCAGCAUCUACAACUCUAGUCACC